CACGUAGGGUGCGAGCGUUGUCCGGAAUUAUUGGGCGUAAAGAGCUCGUAGGCGGUGUGUCGCGUCGGCCGUGAAAACCUGCAGCUUAACUGUGGGCUUGCGGUCGAUACGGGCAUCACUGGAGUUCGGCAGGGGAGACUGGAAUUCCUGGUGUAGCGGUGAAAUGCGCAGAUAUCAGGAGGAACACCGGUGGCGAAGGCGGCUCACUGGCCCGGUACUGACGCUGAGGCGCGAAAGCGUGGGGGAGCAAACAGG
rnacentral:rRNA from 1 species